GACGAACCGUCCAACCGUUAUUCGGAAUCACUGGGCUUAAAGGGUGCGUAGGCGGCGCGGAAAGUUGGGUGUGAAAUCCCUCGGCUCAACCGAGGAACUGCGCCCAAAACUACCGUGCUCGAGGGAGAUAGAGGUGAGCGGAACUUAGGGUGGAGCGGUGAAAUGCGUUGAUAUCCUAAGGAACACCGGUGGCGAAAGCGGCUCACUGGAUCUCUUCUGACGCUGAGGCACGAAAGCUAGGGUAGCGAACGGG
rnacentral:rRNA from 1 species